AUUAGAAAUUGACCCCAAUGAUCUCACCCAAAAGCCUCGCAUUGCAUUGAUCAACGCCUCGCAUUGAUCUGAGUUUGGGUUUCCCUGUUGGGAAAGAAGAAGGUUUCUCGAAUGGGAUUCGAAGGCGUUGAUCUUGGUAACAUAGAAUAAGGUCCAAGCUAGCAAGUCAUUUAGAACAUCCCAACUGUUGAUACAGAACCAGGAAGCCGUCGCUGAUGGAUGGACAUGGAAAAAAAACUCCCCCGCGUCGCUCCCUCCCGAGCGACUCGGGGGCGAAACCUCGCGCGGCGCCGCCGGCUCUCCCCUCCGCCUCCCCCCGCCGCCGCUGCCGCUGGCCCUGCAGCGGUGGCGGCGGGCCCCUUCCUCAAAUGGGGGAGGGGAUCCUCUGGUCGCUCUGCGCGGCGGAGCUCGGUGCCCGGGGCAGCGGCCCCGGAUCUAGUGGCGGCGGCGCGGCGUGCCUGACCGCGGCGGCGCGCUGUGGGGUGGCGCGCGGCUGUGUCUAGGCGGCCGAGGCUGGGGCAUGCGUGCGGGAGCUCGCGGAGGCGGGCGCAUGCUGUGGCGCUGUGGCGCGGUGGCGCACGGGGGUGGUCAGCGGCAGCUCAGGCAUGGGCUUCAUGUCGCCGUUGGCGGCCGUCCAUGGCCGGAUCCAUGGGCCUGACGCCUGGAUCUGUGGGCUGGCGGUGGUUGCAGGGAGAUGGAGAUGGUGCGGUGGGGUGGCUGGAUAUUCCCCUUUUGGCGGCUGGUUCUUGCUGCUCCGCGAGAGGGCGCUGGAUCUGGACGCCGGAUGCUUCAGUGCGACGUGGAGUUGGUUCCAGCCUCUGGUGGCUCGCCGGUGGUUGGGCCAUGGGCGGCGGCGGGGCUGCCAUGGCCCUCUUCGUCGGCUGGUGCAGAGCCAAUGACGGUGACGAACACGGGGGCCGCGAACCUUCUUGAAGGCGUCGUUGUAUGUUGUUGUGUCGCCAACCUCUCCAUGACUUCGGGGAAACCCUGGUUCCAGGUUUGCCCGAAACAGAUGGCGACGCAAUCUGCGUCGCAACCCUUCCUGAAGGCAUCAUCUAGAAGUCAGCUCGGUUGUCAUGUUGGGUUUGAUGGUGGUGGGUGGUGCGGCCGGCAGGGGUCGAUGGUGGUUGUUCGAUGGUGUUUCUUGGGGGUCGGCGGCGGUGCCUUUGGCGUCGCAGGGCGGCCAUCUGUCUCCCCCUCAGGAAGGUGUCUUGUCUCUAUUGCUAUGCAUGAUAAAGGCCCUCCCAUGGCUGCUGAUGUGUUGCGGCGAGCUUCGUGCUUUUGGUGAUGUCUCGGUUCAUCUUUGCUCAUUGAUGGCGCAAGAUGCCUCCCCAACUUGCUAAUCGUUCCGAAUUUCCGUGGUGGAGCUCCCGGUCAAGACUGACUGGGAUGUGGCGGGUGGAGGAGCUCAGGUGGUGGCCGGAGCUGAUGGCGCCGAGGAUUUCAUCCCCACGAACAGGUGGCUCAGGACGGUGGACCUGCCUGGCAGGAUCGCCUUCAUGAGCCUGCCUCGUUCAAGGGGAUGAUCUCCGAGGCAGGGCCACGAGGAGGGGGCCCGGGAGCCGUUGCGCUUCUACCAGCAGAUCAAGGACAACGAGGACCUCGCCAUGCUCGUCGUCCCUCGCAAGUUCGUGGAGGUGAUAAACACCCGGCUGGUCAUCAACCAGAACUUCGAGGGGCACAUGGUGCUUGGCCUGGGCUAGAACUACUUCUGCCGCCGCCACCGGAUCAUCCCGGCGACCUCGUCGUUGUGCGCAUCUCAGGACACGGACUGAAGGUUCAGAUCUAUAACCAUGACUCCUCGGUCAUGUGUAGGUUUCAUUGCAGCAGGCACAACUGCGUUGGUGACAUCGAGCAUGCUAUGUACUUAAGUGAAGUAAGGUGUUAGUGUUGAACUUUUAUGGUGUGUGGCGAGACUUAUGGGUACUUGUGCUGGGAACUUGUUCAUAUUUUGGCCAGGAGCAGCACCCUGGCGUGGAGUAGGAAGGAGGAUGCCCUUGCUGUUAAUCUAGACUUAUGCUAUGUAGUUAAGUAGUUUGCCGUCUUUUUCUUGCUUGCUUUGUUUGAUUUCAUUUGGUUGCUUGCUUUGUUUGAUCCAUAUGUGCUUGCUGUUGUGCUGAUCAUGUGGUGGUAAGGCCACCACAUUUGAAUGGGAUGAGCAGAACACAAACGUUGUUUGCAACCAAACAGCUGAAGUUACGGCAACCAAAGAGGGGGUAAGUGCCCCUCCAUGUGAUGCACACAACUAAACAGGUUGCAUCUGCUGCAUAUGAGGCUGCAUUUCAAGAACCGGACUGGCUGAAGAUGGACAUGCAAUGCAACAAUGGUUGCAAACUGCAACCAAACACGCCUAGGGUAUUCAACCCGCACUGCAUAUAAUAAGUCAACGAACAGGUAUGUACGAGAUAAAAGAAAAGAAAUUACCCUACCUACCGAUCCCAUCUGCGACUCCCUCCAGCGCUGCCGCCGCCGACCUUUGCACGACCACCCCGGCAGCACCUCUCGCCGACGACCACCACGGGUGCGCCUCCCUCUCCCUCAAGACUCCAGCUCCCCAGCGGCCUUCACUCCUUUCCCCGAGUCCAAGUCCAGGACCACCAAUUUGGUUGAAUUCCCCGUCGCCGCCGGUCAUGGUCGGUCGGGCCGCUGCCCCUGGUCGACCCGAACACCGAGGCGGAGCGGGCUGCUCUGCUGAUGCACCGGGGUGUAGCGCAGCUCGGCAGCUUGGCUGCUAUGGUGGUGUUGAUCAUGGAGAACGGGGAACCGGUGGCAGGGAAGCCCCGAUCUCUGCAGACAAUGUCGACCUUAAUUGCAGAUGUUUCUGUGUUUGUUUUCGAUGAAGUGGACUGCUUGCUAGAGAGAGGAUGCACAGAUUAGGCCAUGUAUAUCUUUCGCACACUCUCAGGUCAUGAUGUUUUCAGCAACAGUAUGUUCCAAAAUUGGCAAACUCGUUGUCUUACACCAUGGUUGAUACAUGGAGUAUUUGUUGUGGGAGCCAAUCAAACCAAUUAGACAGGUGGUAAUUUGGGUGGAGUCUAUGCAGAAGAAGCAGAAGAUUUUUGAGAUAAUGAGUUGGCGAUCCCUUGUCUGAAGCAACUACUGCUGCUACUGGGCUGGAGUAAUUUCCAUUCAAGGCAUGAAGGUGGUGGGCCCAGCAAGGAGUAUGGGGGUUCAGCAGGACAUCCUUGCAGGAGCAGUCGAGAAGAGGAUUCCAUCGGCGUCGCAUUCAAGCAGUUGAGUACUUGAGUUACAUUCAUAAAGGUGUUACUGCCAAGCCUGGAUUCAAGUGGAGAAUCCUCCAGUAGGAACAUCGUCUGCCCACAACAGUUGUGGAUCGGGAAUGCAAGCCAGAUCGCCUCCACAUGGGCUGCUGUUGCAAGGUCAUGGUGCCGCACCUCAGCUAAUUCAGUAGGAGUAGUCCAUUCCCCGUCCAAGUGUUUAUUAUUAAUCACUAUUGUUUCAUCUGUUUAUUCUCAUCUAGCUCAUAUAUUAAGUGACUUUUUAAACGUUUGGCUAAUUCCUUUUUGUCUUUUGGGGCUUUGCGGUGAAGGCGAGAUGAAUUUAGAAGAGUUCAAUUUAGAGUCAGUGUAGUGUGUUCCGCGGAAAGAAAAGAUAAUUGGUGUAGUGUCUCUCGCCUAUUGGACUCAGUCUAUUAUGCCCACUAAAUAUAUACAUGUAUGUUGCAGAGACUUGGCACAUGGAUGAUUAGCAUCUCUUCGCACAUGCAUGUCAAUUCACUGAAAAGGUACUACUGUAACUAUGACUAUGGGUGUAGAUGUCCACUCUUGAUUUUUGAGGACCACUUUAGAUGUGAUCAUUUGUGUUGCUUCAAACCUUCUUGACAUAACAUAAUGUGUGCGUGUUACUAAUCUGAAAGUCGAGCCUAAGCUUUGUUAAGUGGACUUCAUGCAAUUAUGAUAUAAUUGUUGAUUAUCUCUCUUCCAUCACAAAAUCCAACUUACUAUGUUUUUUACCAUUGAAUGAAUGUUCAGCCAUUAUCAGACUUUUGUGCUGUGCCCUGGCUGACAAACCGUGCUUUGCCAACCUAGUGGAGGAAAGGCAAGGUUGACCAAGUGAUGAUCCUUCCACCUGAAGGGUGAUUAAUUUGCAUGCUUAUUAUGAAAAAAUGAAGCCCUUCUGAACAUUGCUUUCUACUACUUAUCCUCGAUGUGGGGAGGCCGGCCAAAAGGGGUAUGCUUAGGUGGUGAACUUGGAAUGGGAUAAUAGAACACUACCUGUUGUUACAUUCUGAUUUUAGUUGCGUUUGAGUUUUAGAUUAUUUUUUUACCUUUUAGCAUGGUAAUUUGCUGGGACCUGGCACUAUUGAUUUUGAUUAUUGCAAAGUGAUAAUCAGUUUUAUGUCGGUUUUA